UGAGGAAUUUUGCGCAAUGGGGGAAACCCUGACGCAGCAACGCCGCGUGGGUGAUGAAGGCCUUCGGGUCGUAAAGCCCUGUCGGGCGGGAAGAACGUCCCUUCGGGGAAUGACGGUACCGCCAGAGGAAGCACCGGCUAACUCCGUGCCAGCAGCCGCGGUAAUACGGCGGGUGCAAGCGUUAUUCGGAAUUACUGGGCGUAACGGGCGGUCAGGCGGGAGAGCAAGUCUGCUGUGAAAGCCCGGGGCUUAAACCCGGAAGGGCAUUGGAAACUGCUUUUCUUGA
rnacentral:rRNA from 1 species